rnacentral:lncRNA from 1 species
GUUCUAGUUGUUUUCUGAACUUGGUGUAGUUGAGAAAAAUGCUAGGGGGAUUGAGAUGAAGCUGCUGCCAAAAUUUGGUGACCAUGGGAGAAGUUGACCGCCGAGUGAACAGUACCGCGCGUGAACAGUGCGUGCGUGAACAGUGGACGACGUACCGAGCUAUUGCUCGAUGACGGAACACGAAUGCGUGAUCGUCGGAAUAGUUCUUUUGCAGGCGAAUUAGUGAGGUCAGGCGUACACGGAGUUGAGGCAUAGUCAACAGCAUGGCUUCCGCGUUUGCCUUUGAGUUAGGUUGUCCUUAUUUACCUUUCUAUUAGAAUUGCUCUGAUUACCUAUG